UCCGGUUUGUCACCGGCAGUCACUCUAGAGUGCCCAGCUUAACCUGCUGGCAACUAAAGUCAAGGGUUGCGCUCGUUGCGGGACUUAACCCAACAUCUCACGACACGAGCUGACGACAACCAUGCACCACCUGUCUGGCAUGUCCCGAAGGAAAGGCUUAUCUCUAAGCCGGUCAUGCCGAUGUCAAGACCUGGUAAGGUUCUUCGCGUUGCUUCGAAUUAAACCACAUACUCCACUGCUUGUGCGGGUCCCCGUCAAUUCCUUUGAGUUUCAGUCUUGCGACCGUACUCCCCAGGCGGAGUGCUUAAUGCGUUAACUUCGGCACCCAGGGUAUCGAAACCCCGAACACCUAGCACUCAUCGUUUACAGCGUGGACUAC
rnacentral:misc_RNA from 1 species